CUCGAGGCCGCGUGCGCGCGCUGUGUGACCCGGAAGGGAGCUGCUGAGGAGGCGGGACCAGGAAAGUGGGACCAGCCGCUGGGUCCCAGCGAGGGCCGAGACGGGCAGUGGGAGAGGUCAGCAUGGUAGGGGAGCGACGUGCUGGGGACCAUAUGGUUCCCUUGGGACCCCGGCUACAGGCAUAUCCUAAGGAACUCAUUCGACAGCGACCUGGGCAUGAUAGGCAUCCUGAAUACCUGAUCCGAUGGAGUAUCCUGAAGUGUGGGGAAGAGGACAAAGUGGGUGUGGAAGAAGACAAAACAGAACACAUCCUGAUGUGGCUGUCAGCCCCAGAGGUCUAUGCCAACUGCCCCAUGCUGUUAGGCGAGUGGGCACUAUCUAAGGGACCUCAGCACGAACCAGCGGGGUGUUCAGAAAGCUUUCCUCGUGACCCUGGAGGCCUGGAUGAAGUAGCAAUGAGAGAGAUGGAGGCUGAUGUGCGGGCACUGGUACGCAGGGCUGCCAGGCAGCUGGCAGAAGGUGGGACCUCAAGCCUCACUACUGCUGUGCUCCACACCAUCCAUGUGCUCAGUGCCUAUGCCAGCAUUGGGCCUCUCACUGGGGUCUUCAGGGAGACAGGAGCCCUGGACCUGCUCAUGGACAUGCUAUGCAAUCCUGAGCCUCAAAUCCGUCGGAGUGCAGGCAAGAUGCUACAGGCUCUGGCGGCCCACGAUGCUGGGAGUCGGGCUCACGUCCUUUUGUCACUGAGCCAGCAAGAUGGCAUCGAGGAGCACAUGGAUUUUGACAGCCGCUAUACUUUGCUGGAGCUGUUUGCAGAAACUACAUCCUCUGAAGAACACUGCGUGGCCUUUGAAGGCAUUCAUCUGCCUCAGAUCCCAGGAAAACUGCUCUUCUCCCUGGUGAAGCGCUACCUCUGUGUCACUUCCCUGCUGGAUCAACUGAAUAACAGUGCAGAAGCAGGCACUGGAGACCAAAGCUCUCCGUGCCCCACGAGGGAGAAAAACCGGGGACAACGGGAGCUGGAGUUCAGUAUGGCUGUGGGCAACCUCAUCUCAGAACUGUUGCGGAGCAUGGGCUGGGCCCACAAGCUCAGCGUACAGAGCAUGUUACCACGCCAGCCACCUAGGUCCAUCUUUCAGCCCUGCAUUUCGGGGCCCCCCCCUUUACUUCCUCCCUUCAUCACCACCCCCAGAAGGCAAGGGCAAGCCUUCCGCCAGCGGUCAGAAUUCUCUAGCCGCAGUGGGUAUGGUGAGUAUGUGCAGCAGGUGCUGCAGCCAGGCAUGCGAGUGCAGAUGCUGGACGAUUAUGAGGAGAUCAUCGCUGGGGACAAGGGCGAAUUCUGCCAGAGCAACAAUGGCGUCCCCCCUGUGCAGGUCUUCUGGCAGUCAACUGGCCGAACCUACUGGGUGUACUGGCACAUGCUGGAGAUCCUGGGUCCUGAGGAAGCUUCUGGGGAUGCAGUUUCAGCAUCGGCAGAGAAGAGGGCAGGGGCUACUGUACUAGGCACAGCACUUCCCUUCUGGGACUGGAAACCCAUGGGCAGCCUCUACUGUUUGCCGUACCUCCGGCCUGAGCCAAAGAAGCAUGAGGAAGUGGGGUACCUGACCCAGGCUGAAUGGUGGGAGCUGCUUUUCUUCAUCAAGAAAUUGGACAUAAGCGAGCAGCAGCCAAUUUUCCAGAAUCUUCGAGAGAAACUGAAUGAGCACCUGGGUGAAGAGGCCCUGGGCGAGCUCUCCAUACCAGUAGAGAUGGCUGAGGGCCUGGUGCAGGUACUCUGUAGUCGGUUGGAGGGCAGCACCCUCUGUGACCUGCUAAGUUCGCAGAUCUACAGCAAGUAUGGGCUGCUCUCUGAUGAACCCAGCACCUCAUCGUCUUCACGAAGUCACUCCUGUACCUCAGAUCCACAAGAAGAGUCCAAGUCAGAGGCUAGCUUCUCGGAAGAAGAGUCCAAUUCCCCCAGAGCAAAGGCCAAGCCCUCUAAGGCAGAGCCAGAGCCUGCCAAGGCCAAGACUGAGUCCCCCAUGGCACAGAGUGACUCACAACUGUUUAACCAACUCCUGGUGGCUGAGGGGAUGGCUCCACCCCUGAAGAUGAAGGUGGCAGCCAGUGAAAUGGCUAGAACCUUGCGGGUCCCUGGUCUACUCAGCUCCUUGGAUCAGGAUGUGGUAGCAGUCGCGGCCACCAUGCAGAUAUCCAGCUCGGACGCAGACCUACAGCUUUCAGGGCUCUAUGCCCUUUGUCAGACUGUGGAAGAGGUCACUGAGCGAAACCACCCGCUGGUCCAUCCCAACAGAUUGCUGAGGGAGAAGCUAGUGAAGACACUGGUAGAGUUGCUGACCAACCAUGUGAGAAAGAAGAUGGUGGUGGCACUGGCCCUGCGCCUCCUUUACCUGCUUAUGAACAAGCAUGAGUGGCGCCCACUCUUUGCUAGGGAGGGUGGCAUCUACGCUGUGCUGGUUUGCAUGCAAGAAUAUAAGACUUCCGUCUUGGUGCAGCAGGCAGGGCUGGCGGCACUGAAGAUGCUGGCCAUUGCCAGCUCCUCGGAGAUUCCUACUUUUGGUUCUGGCCAAGAUUCUGUCCAGCCUUUGUUUGAUGCCCAGAUGACCAGAGAGAUCUUUGCCAGCAUUGACUCAGCCACAUGCCCGGGCUCCGAGAGCCUGCUUCUUACUAUCCCUGCAGCAGUGGUUCUAAUGCUGAAUACCAAGGGGUGCUCCUCAGCAGUGAGAAAUGGCCUGCUCCUGCUCAACAUGCUUUUGUGUAACCAUCACACUCUGGGAGACCAGCUUAUAACCCGUGAACUAAGAGACACUUUGUUUAGACACGCAGAAAUAGCACCAGGGACAGAACCCAUGCCCACCGCACGCACCAUCCUCAUGAUGCUUCUCAGCCGCUACUCAGAGCCACCGGGCAGUCCUGAGCAUGCAGCCCAUCAAGCUUCAGCGCUGGAGAUCCCCUGUGGCCAGGGCCAGGAUGGAACCCCUGAGCUGCUGAUUCAGUCCCUGGUGGGAGGUCCAUCUGCGGAACUGCUCUUGGACCUGGAGCGGGUGCUGUGCCAUGAGGGUGGCUCGGGGAGUGCUGUGAGGUCCCUCCUCAAGUGCCUCCAGCAGGAGACCCAGCCCUUCCUGCUGUUGCUUCGGACUCUGGAUGCCCCUGGGCCCAACAAAACUGUGCUGCUGACCGUGCUGAGAGUCCUGACCCAACUGCUGGAUUACCCUGAGGCCAUGAUCCUCCCCUGGCACGAAGUCUUGGAGCCCUGCCUCAACUGUCUGAAUGGCCCUGGCAGUGACUUGGAGAUUGUUCAGGAGCUGACCUGCUUCCUGCAUCGCUUGGCUUCAAUGCAUAAGGAUUAUGCGGUGCUGCUCUGCUGCCUGGGUGCCAAGGAGGCCCUCUCCAAAGUCCUGGACAAGCACUCAGCUCAGCUACCACUGGCUGCUGAGCUUGGAGACCUGGUGACAGACUGUGAGAAGUAUGCCCAGCUCUAUGGCAGCCUCACCUCCAGCAUCCUGGCUGGCUGCAUCCAGAUGGUGCUGGGCCAGAUCGAAGACCACAGGCGAACCCACAGGCCUAUCAACAUCCCUUUCUUUGAUGUGUUCCUCAGGCAUCUCUGCCAGGGCUCCAGCGUGGAUGUGAAGGAGGACAAGUGCUGGGAGAAGGUGGAGGUGUCCUCCAACCCACACCGGGCCAGCAAGCUGAUGGACCGCAACCCCAAGACCUACUGGGAGUCCAAUGGCAGCACCGGGUCCCACCACAUCACCUUGUACAUGCACCGAGGUGUUCUUGUUAGGCAGCUGACUCUGCUGGUGGCCAGUGAGGACUCUAGUUACAUGCCAGCCAGAGUGGUGGUGUUUGGGGGUGACAGCCCCAGCAGCAUCAGUACUGAGCUCAAUACGGUGAACGUGAUGCCCUCUGCCAGCCGGGUGACUCUCCUAGAGAACCUGACCCGCUUUUGGCCCAUCAUCCAGAUCCGAAUAAAGCGCUGCCAGCAGGGUGGCAUUGACACCCGGGUUCGGGGUGUGGAGGUCCUGGGCCCCAAGCCCACUUUCUGGCCACUGUUCCGGGAGCAGCUGUGUCGCCGUACCUAUCUCUUCUACACAAUUCGGGCCCAAGCCUGGAGCCAGGACAUAGCAGAGGAUCACAGGCGCCUCCUCCAGCUCUGUCCCAGAUUGAACAAGGUUUUGCGCCAUGAACAGAAUUUUGCCAAUCGCUUCCUCCCUGACGAGGAGGCUGCUCGGGCACUGGGAAAGACCUGCUGGGAGGCCUUGGUCAGCCCCUUGGUGCAGAACAUCACCUCUCCUGAUGCCAAAGGUGUGAGCUCCCUGGGAUGGCUGCUUGAUCAGUACCUGGAGUGCAGAGAGGGCCCUCGGGGCCCCCUGAGUCAAGCAGCAUCCUUCACCUCUCAAGUUCGGCGACUUUGCCACUUGCUGGUGCACGUGGAGCCUCCUCUGGGACCUUCUCCUGAGCCACCCGCUCGGCCCUUCAGCAAGAAUAGUAAGGGGCGUGACCCAAGCCCUGUGCCUCCAACAGUUUCUGCAAGCAGCAACCUGAGGAACAUCACCCAGUGCUGGCUGAACGUGGUGCAGGCGCAGGUCAGCAGGUUCCUGGCUGCAGCCUGGAGAGUCCCUGACUUUGUGCCUCGGUACUGCAAACUCUAUGAGCACUUGCAGAGAGCAGGCACAGAGCUCUUUGGGCCUCGGGCGGCCUUCACACUGGCUCUGCACAGUGGCGUCUCUGGCGCCCUGCUGCAGCAGUCCUUCCUCACUGCCGCCCAUGUGAGUGAGCAGUUUGCCAGGCACAUUGACCAGCAGAUCCAGGGUGGCCUGCUUGGAGGAGCCCGAGGCAUGGAGAUGCUGCGGUGGCUUCAGCAGCACCUAGAGCCCAUCAUGGUCCUUUCGGGCCUGGAGCUGGCAACGACUUUUGAGCACUUCUAUCAGCACUACAUGGCUGACCGUCUCUUGAACUUGGGCUCCAGCUGGCUGGAGGAGGCUAUCCUGGAGCAGAUUGGCCCCUGCUUCCCCAACCGCCUCCCCCAGUUGAUGUUGCAGAGCCUUCGCACCUCAGAGGAGCUGCAGCGCCAGUUCCACCUGUCCCAGCUCCAGCAGCUCGACUGGUUGCUCUUGGAGCAGGGGGACGAGGAGGAGCAGGGCCUUGAGGAAGAGGAGGUAGUAGCAAGGGGAGAGAGGGUAGAAGAGAAGAGAAAACUUGACUCUAGAGGGGAGCCCCCAGGCCCUCAAAAUCCUUCUGUUUCCCAGGAGAAAGAACAGGAAGAAGAGGCCAGGAAAGCACUGUUUAUAGAUGAUCCAAGCCCAGCAGUCUCCAUCCUGGUCCUGUCCCCACGCUGCUGGCCAGUGUCCCCGCUCUGCUACCUGCACCAGCCCAGAAAGUGCCUUACCCCGGAACUCUGUGAUGCCCUAGACUGCUUCUCCAGGUUCUACAGCCAGAGUCAGAACAACCCAGUCCUGGAUGUGGUCCCACAUCGGCGGCUGCAGUGGACAUGGCUGGGCCGUGCUGAGCUGCAGUUUGGGGACCAUACUCUGCAUGUGUCCACUGUGCAGAUGUGGCUGCUGCUGAAUUUCAAUCAGACAGAGGAGGUGUCAGUAGAGACCUUGCUGAAGAGUUCCGACUUCUCCCCAGAGCUACUGCACCAGGCACUUGGGCCUCUCACCUCUGAGAGUGGACUUUUGUCCCUGCAGGAGGGUCAGGACUUGCCACCUGGGGGUGUGCUGCGGCUUCGUGAGCCUGGGCCCUGGUCCUUCAGGAAGGAGCUGUGGUUGAUACCUCCCCAGACAUACCUGAAUGUAGAGAAGGAUGAGGGCCGCACACUGGAACAGAAGCGGAACCUCCUGAGCUGUCUUCUUGUCCGUAUUCUGAAAGCCCAUGGGCCAAAGGGCCUGCACAUCGAUCAUCUGGUUUGUCUGGUGUUGGAGGCCUGGCAGAGGGGUCCUCAUCCACCAGGAAGCCUGGGCCAUGCUGUCACUGGGAGUACAGAUGUCCUCUCUUGCAUCCUGCACCUCCUGGGCCAGGGUUACGUGAAGCGGCAGGAUAACCAGCCCCAGAUCCUGGUGUAUGCCACCCCUGAGCCCAUGGUGCCCUGCCAGGGUCAGGCGGACAUCCCCUUCUGUGGCAGCCAGAGCACUGAGGCCUCUAAACCUAGCCCAGUAGCCGUGGCUGCCCUGGCGUCUCUCCAGUUGCCUGCAGGCCGAACCAUGAGUCCACAGGAGGUGGAAGGGCUGAUGGAGCAGACGGUGCGGCAGGUGCAGGAGACACUGAACUUAGAGCCGGAUGUGGCUCACCAUCUUCUGGCUCAUUGCCACUGGGGUGCAGAGCAGCUGCUUCAGAGCUACAGUGAUGACCCUGAGCUGCUGCUGCUGGCAGCUGGGCUGCGUGUGCCCCAGCCCCAGGCAGCCCCUGCACCACCAGACUUCUGCCCCGUCUGUGUCGGUCCCUUGGGGCCUGGUGACGACCUGCCCUCCCUCUGCUGUCUGCACUCCUGCUGCAAGUCUUGCUGGAAUGAGUAUCUGACGACGCGGAUCGAGCAGAACCUUGUGCUUAACUGCACCUGCCCCAUCACUGACUGCCCUGCUCAGCCCACUGGAGCCUUCAUCCGUGCCGUUGUCUCCUCGCCAGAGGUCAUCUCCAAGUACAAGAAAGCUCUCCUGCGAGGCUACGUAGAGAGCUGCUCCAACCUGACCUGGUGCACCAACCCCCAGGGCUGUGACCGCAUCCUGUGCCGCCAGGGCUUGAGCUGUGGCACUGCUUGCUCCAAGUGCGGCUGGGCCUCUUGCUUCAACUGUAGCUUCCCUGAGGCACACUACCCCGCUAGCUGUGGCCACAUGUCGCAGUGGGUAGAUGAUGGCGGCUACUAUGAUGGCAUGAGCGUGGAGGCACAGAGCAAGCACCUGGCCAAGCUCAUCUCCAAGCGCUGCCCCAGCUGCCAGGCUCCCAUCGAGAAGAAUGAGGGGUGCCUGCACAUGACCUGCGCCAAGUGUAACCAUGGCUUCUGCUGGCGCUGCCUCAAGCCCUGGAAGCCCAAUCACAAAGACUACUACAACUGCUCUGCCAUGGUGAGCAGGGCAGCUCGCCAGGAGAAGCGCUUUCAGGACUACAAUGCACGGUGCACCUUCCACCACCAGGCUCGGGAGUUUGCUGUGAACUUGCGGAACCGGGUCUCAGCCAUCCAUGAGGUGCCCCCACCCAAGUCCUUCACCUUCCUCAGUGAUGCAUGCCAGGGCCUGGAGCAGGCGCGGAAGGUGCUGGCCUAUGCCUGUGUGUACAGCUUCUACAGCCAGAACACCGAGUACAUGGACGUGGUGGAGCAGCAGACCGAGAGUCUGGAGCUGCACACCAAUGCCCUACAGAUCCUCCUCGAGGAGACUCUGCUGCACUGCGGGGACCUGGCCUGCGCCCUGCGCCUCCUGCGGGCUGACUGCCUGAGCACAGGCUUGGAGCUGCUUCGGCGCAUCCAGGAGCGGCUGCUGGCCAUCCUGCAGCACUCCACCCAGCUCUGGAUGUAAAAUCCCAGGCCAAGGGGUGAGGGUCACUUCCACUCUGCCAAGGUUCCUUCCGCUCCAUACCUGCCAUUACACUUGCCCUCUGACCCCUGCCAUCAGGCUGGCUCCUGACUGGUAAGUAACAUGGGUGCACCACAAGCUCCUGGUGCACAAAGUGGGUGCCCAUGUGUGCCCUACCCCUGGCAUCCUCAGCAAGCAAAAGGCACAAAGGCAGUGGUUUGAAGGGCCAUGGUGACAAGAGGGGCUCCUGGUAGGAGCCUGGCACUUGGGGCACAAGCUGCUGUCCUCUGCUCUCCUGCUCCCACCAGGACUUCCGGGUUGGUAUCCAGAAUCCUGUGGUAGUGGCCGAGGAGGCGAAGGGAUCCAACUUGCCCAGCCAUCAGCUCCAGGGCUCCUCAGUGCAGGAGGCAGAGGAUGAGGAUGACGAGGAGGACUAUGUGCCCGAGUGGCACCAGGACGAGUUUGAUGAGCUGGACAACGACAGCUUCUCCUAUGACGAGGAGUCUG